GAAAUUAGGGACACUUGGAAGGUCUGCUCUCUCUCUCUCUCUCUCUCUCUCUCUGUGUGUGUGUGUGUGAGAGAGAGAGAGAGAGAGAGAGAGAGAAAUAUUUCACAAUUGGGGGGGAAA